rnacentral:lncRNA from 1 species
AAGGUGGCAGCUUUGCCUCACCCCCCACAUGUGACUGAGAAGUCCCAACAGACCUGGCCCACAGUGGGUCCAUCAGUGACCCAAUGAGGAUCCCGGUAAGAGAACAUAUUUUAUAGUCUGUCUACACUGCUGAGCUGAUCCCUGCUGAGAGGAGACGAGGGGAUCACGAGGAAAGAUUACCCUUGGCCUAGAACAUCUUCCCCGGGACCCACGAAGCACAGAUGACUGGACUUUCCACCCCCAGCAGAGCACAAAUCCACUUCCCAGGAGCCUCUCCGCUUGAAGGGCAAGAGGCAUCUCCCCUAAGCCUCGGUUUCCCUCGUUGGGAGCUGUGUUUGCCAAGUAACACCACCGCCAUCUCCCCGGUGUGAGCUGCCGGGACCCCACCCUCUGCCGGCGCAGGCCUCCAGGCUUCACGCUUUCUGGGAUCGUCCCAGCAACCACUGGGGCCGCACAUCCGCAUCACAUCGCUUUACAGAUGGGAAAACUGAGGCUCAGAAAAGCAGCAGGACCCUCUCAGGUCCCUGGAGUCGCCAAGUGGGAGAGCCCGGACUUGAACUUGGGUCUGUUUCCUUCUGGUACAAUGGCAUGGACCAGCCGCCUGCAGCCUUUGCCCAGACUUGGUUUUGGUUUUGGUUUUGGAGACGGUGUCGUGGGGUCAAUGGGUUAAAUCCACGAGUGGAGAGCAACGCCUUAAGUCCACAAAUUCGAGGAGGGGGUGAGAGGAGACGAGCCCCUUUUCCCGGGGUCCCAAGCCAGGGCCUCCUGAUCCCGCCAAAGGAAGGCCAGAAUGUGGAGGGUGUGUGCGUGUGUCUGUCUGUGUGUCAGAGAGACAGAUAGACACCCUAACUGCAGAGAGAAAAGCUGGCACCGUCGUCCAACUGCAAGGAAAAUGGACAGGAGGCUUUUCCGAGAGGGGCGGAGAGAGCCAGGCCUGGGGCUGUGGGGAGCGGGUGAGGCCUCCUGCCCUCGCGGGGGUUAAAGCAGGAGACAUUCCUGCCGCUGGUAGAGAGCAGUAAACCAGGAUUUUUCCGCCAGGGGGAGAGACAGCAAGAUUGAUUUUCUGCCUCCCAGAGAAGCCGCCGCGGCACACGCUCGCGCACACACACGCACACGUGUUUUCUGGGAGUGGGAGAGACGGCAAGAGACAGAGAUCUCCUGCUCACAGCCACGGAGUGUUCUGGAGAGGGAGCGUGUGCAUGUGUUUUCCUAACAUGGUGUCUUUCUUGGCUGCGGCAGAGGAGACGUUUCCAAGAGGGAAUGAGAAGGGGGGGGGGAGGAACGAGACAGAGGGAGGACAUUUUCUGCCCACACACAGACACAAACACUCGUAAUUUUCUGUAAACUGAGAAAUCGUGUCUGUUUCUCAGGUGCUGCACACUUAGUGAGGGGACGGGAGACGUGUUUGCCUGGCAGGGGGUCCCGAUAAACACGCCCGUGAGCCUUAGUGUGUGUGAGAGAGAGACAGACAGAUAGAUGGAGAGACAGACAAAGAGACAGAGAGAGAGAGAGACAAACACAGAG